rnacentral:snRNA from 1 species
AUUCUUUCGCAGUGGCAGUAUUGUAGCCUAUGAGGUUUAUCCAAGGCGCGAUUAUUGCUAGUUGAAAACUUUACCCAAUACCCCGCCUUGAUGACUUGACCUGGUCGGCUAUGGCAAUUCCGCAAUACCACUUACAGU